rnacentral:lncRNA from 10 species
UGAAGUUCUUUAGGUCUCCAGAAAUGAAUCUGAAAAUUCGCUGGUUUGGGAGCCGUGAGAGCAGCUCCGUCAUUUGUUCGACCCCCGUUCAGGGAGUAUUUCCUGGGAGCCUCUAAGUGCAUCUGCGGAGAAGGCUGGAAAGCAGGGCCCUGCUGGUCCAGAAGCUCUGACAAGCAGCGGGAAGCUACUGGAGCCCAGCGUGGUCCCGCAGGCCCGGGGUGGAGACUCAGGGGCUGGUCGGUGCCACUCGUGGUCCCCCAGGCCAGAGCAGCCCAGGCCUCUGCUGGAAACUCAAGCGCUCUCUGAUUUAAAUGAAGACGCCUUGAAGAGCUCCGGCUGUCCUGGAUGGAUGAAGCAGCAUAGGCAUGACUUGGAAGGAUGUGCGGUGGAAGGGGGGUCGCUUCACUGCCAAGAAACCCUUCCUGAGUCUUCUGGAAAUUUCAGGAAAGGCUGCUCAUCCCAGGAGGCUGAAAAAGUAUGGCUGUGUGUUGGGUGGGCCUAAUGCAGGGCAGCGGCCAGGCUGGCACUCAAGUGUGUGUGUGUGUAUGUGAGUGUGAGUGCAAGAGUGUGUGUGUCUGUCUGUGAGUGUGUGAGACUGUGUGUGACUGUGUGUCUGUGUGUGAGAGUGUGUCUAUGAGUGUAUGUCUGUAAGAGUGUAUGUAUGAGUGUGUGACAGUGUGUGUGAGCAUAUGUGAGUAUGUAUGUGUGUCUGUGAAAGUGUGAGUGUGAGUGAGCAUGAGUGCGUGUCUGUGAGAGUGUGUAUGUGAGAGUGUGUUGUGUCUGUGAGAGCAUGUGUGUGAACGUGUUUAUGUAUGUGAGUGUGUAUGCAUCUGUGAGUGUGUCUGUGAAAGUGUGUGUGAGGAUGAGUGUGUGUCUGUGAGCAUGUGUCUGUGAGAGCAUGUGUGUAUGUGUGUGAGUGUGUAUGUAUCUGUGAGUGCGUCUGUGAAUGUGUAUAUGAGUGAGCAGGAGUGUGUGUGUGGUCUGUGAGUGUGUGAGCGUGUGAGAGUAUGUAUUUGAUUGUGUAUCUGAGACUGUGCAAGUGUGUGUGUGCCUGUGUGCAAGUGUGAGUGUGUGUGUCUGUGUGUAAGUGUGAGUGUGUGUGAGUUUGUGUGUUCAUAUGUGAGUUUAUCUUCCGUGAGAAUUUUAGGCGAAACUGAGGAGAACCGCAGUCAUCUGACGUUGUCAUGAUGGCUGAAGUCCAGGUCUCAGAUCUGGGUGGAAGCACUGGGUCUGAAUAGUGACCAUCUCAUCACAGUUGUCUCCUGAGACUCCCAUUCCCGGGAAGGAGAGUACUUGCCAGGGAAGCCAGCAGCACUCUGGGCGAACGUGUGCCCCUCAAGAGUGGCCGCAGGCUGUAGCAGGAUCCAGAGGAGAGGCGGGGCCGAGGCCCAGUCAGGGUCUCUGCAGGGUCCCUGCAGAGGCAGGGCCUCUGGGAGCCUGGGGGACCCGGGACAGGGAGGUGAAGGAGGAGUAACAGCAGGUGCGAGGCACCAAUGGCCAAUGUGGAAAUUAUGAGUGGGCGCUCCAGCUUCGUCUGCUGAGACCUCUCGCUCACUUCUCUGCGUCUUCACCCUUCCCCUCCUCCCCGGCGCCCCUGCCCUCUGUUAAUGCCAUUAACAGUGGGCGUUAUGUGUGGCACGGCAAGGCCAUGCUCUAAAACACGCGCCUGGGUCCUGAUGAGCCUGCGCUCUCCCUGUGUUUUGGGCGCUGCCUUCAGAGCAUGUUGGUAGUGAGAUGUGGAAGGCCACGCAGCUGUAGUGCACUCACUGUCGCAGCCUAACGGUGCCACACGGACCCGUAAGAGGACGCACAACUGUCAGCUGACUCCGUCACUGGGAAAAACAACACGGGUACAUUGUCUGCGAUUGCUGUCACUCUGAUACAUGAGAAAUACAUGGGAGGGAGUUUGAAAUGACAUUGAAUGAACUUGAGCAUACCUGGUCUUUGGCCUACUUUCCUGUAAGUUUAUGGUCUUUUUCUUCUCCAUUCUUGAAAACUCUUUUUCCAUUCAGUAUAUUACCCACUUUGUCGAAAUAUACAUAGAAAUGAUUUCUUCUCUCGGUUUGCUACUUAUCUUUCGAAUUUCAUUAUGGUGAUUUAUUUUUACCAUAAAAAUUAAAAAAAUUGUAAUUGCAUUUUUAAAUAUUUCAUUGCUUUUGAAUUUUCAAUCAUAAAAGUUUAUCUCCACUCCUAUGUUAGGGUGGAAUCAAUCACAUGCUUCUGGCAAAUUAAGAUCUCUCAUAAAUUUACAGUUCUUUCUAUUUUUAUGUUUUUAUAGACAGGGUCUCACUCUGCUGCCUAGGCUGCAAUGCGGUGGCACGACCAUGGCUCAGUGCGUCCUCAACUCCUGGGCUCAAGUGAUCCUCCCACCUCGGCCUCCUGAGUAGCUGGGACUACAGUUGCACACCACCAGAUCCGACUAAUUUGCAGUUCUGUCCGGCGUACAGUGUGAGAUGGGAAUCAACUUUUGUCUUCAUCCAGAUGGUAAAUUAAAUGUUAUUUAUGAAAAAUCCAUUGCUUAAGGUAGUGAUCUGAGAAGCGAAGUUUACCAAUGGCUCAAUAGCGAUUUGAGAAGCGAACUUUACCGAUGACUCAAUGCGUGUUUUACUUUGGUCCUGGGCUUUCUACUCUCACCUCAUGUCUGGUCUGUAUGGCGGGUCUGACACCGUGGGAUGCAGAGAUACAAAUCUGCCUGCCUGUCGCCUCCUCUCAUGGAAACGGUGCAUAGCUCGCCUUUCAUGAUUUAUAAAGUCAAAGCCUUUUUAACUUAGGUAACUAUUAUUAAAGGUAAAGUGUUGUCAAAAUUACAGGGAUCCUUUGGUUAAUGCUGGGGAGAAAAUCAUAAAAUCAUGAAGUUUUUGGAAUAAAUUAUUUCCUCAGACUUUGAGAUAGACAUUUUAGCCACUACACAUUGGCUCAGCCAAUAUUGUGGAAUUCUCUAUUUCUUGCUUAUUAGACAAACGUUGAAUUUUCUUUUCAUGUCUGAAUUAUUAUUUUUUCUUCCCUCCAUACAAGGCAUUCCCUCUAUUAACUCUUAUUCAUUGCUGACACUGCAAGGUAUUUCAGAUUGGGAAAUAGUUGUAAAAAUAAAGACAAUGUAUUAGAAGGGAACAACUGUUGAAAUAUUACUUUAAGCAGAAGUCACAGACUAUAGUUUAUCUUCUUCUAUUAAUAAAAUGAGAUGCUUUCCCUCGACAAAAGCAGUACCAAGUUGAAGAGGGUCACGGCUUUCCAGCCGAGAGUGAAACAGUUUGAGCAAUGCAGCGUGCAGGCUCGCGGGAGGGGCGCUCCGUCUCCCCAGAGCACAGCUGGGAGGUUCCCGCAUGCAGCCCAGGCUUGAUCUCCUCCUGGUGAGAGGGGACCGGCUCCAGGGCAGGCAGGGGAGGCCCGUCCAUCACUCACAGUGAGAUUUUGGCCUACUGUGGUUUCUAGGGAAAUAAAUCUCUUCUUCCAGUCCCUGAAAGAACAUAACCCAUGCUUCCAAAUGACUUAAAACAAUUCAGGUUUCAUUGAAAAGAAAAUAUGUUUAACAUUAUAUGAUUUUCGCUUUUUUAGAGACUUUUAUGUCAGUGAGAGGGAGAACACAAAUGCUGAUUUAAGGAAGUGUUGAAGGGCAUUUCCCCAAGUUGUUCUUUUCCUCUGAGGGGUUUUAAAACCUUACAAUGCUGGCCGGACGCGGUGGCUCAUGCCUGUAAUCCCAACACUUUGGGAGGUUGAGGCAGGUGGAUCACCUGAGGUCAGGAGUUCAAGACCAGCCUGGCCAACAUGGUAAAACCCAUCUCUACUAAAACUACAAAAAUUAGCCAGGCAUAGUGGCGAGUGUCUGUAGUCCCAGCUACUCGGGAGGCUGAGGCAGGAGAAUCGCUUGAACCCAGGAGAUGGAGGUUGCAGUGAGCCAAGCAAGAUCAAGCUACUGCACUCCAGCCUGGGCAACAGAGCGAGACUCCAUCUCAAAACAAACAAACAAACAGAAAAACUUUACAAUGCUGAUAAACUUAAAAAUUAUGAAACACAGCUCUUCUUGUCCUCCUGGGGCGCCCCCCAUCACCCCCAUCACAGCCCAGCCUUCUUCUGCUCCUCUCUGUUCUGAGGGAACUUCCCAUCCUUGUCUUUUUAUGGCCGUCUCAGCAUUUUCCCAGGUGUGUGGCUGUCCCUAAGUUAACCCCGGUUUAGCACACGGGAUGUGAUGCUGAGUGAUGGGAGUUCCUCAGAUAAAAGUGGCGGAUCUUCUUUGACUCAUCUUUUCCUUCCUCCCUCUCUAUCUCAAAUUAGAGUGAGAUCAAAUAUAGUGAAAAUGUUACUAGAGACUUUGGGUUUUAAAUCUCUGUAAACCCAGUGAAACACACUAUUUCUGGGGUGUGCACGAUGUGGUCAGUUAGUUACAAAUGCCUUUUUAUCUAGUGAGAGGUGUUUGGGCAAUCCAUGUGCACACAGAGGAGCGUUUCUGGUGAUUUGAUCAAAUCCAAGUGAGCUAGCUCGUUAGUACCUGUGGCAAGUUUAGAACUUCUGAACUCACAAACAUAUUAAGAAAUUUCCUAGGUUCACAGUGAUUUUUGGUAAACAUGAAUUUAAGUACCAAAAGAGGCAGAAUAAUAGUUUGCAAAGUUGUGUUUCCUUUGAGCUUCUGACUCAAAAGUUACAUCAAAGAUGUCCCUGCCUACCCUUAAUAUUUAAGUAAUGGAAUAAAGCUUAAGGGCCCCGAGACUCAGGAGGAUGCCCACAGGGAGAGGCAGGUAGCGCAGCACCUGGCAUUUAGUGGCUCAGCCCUGGAAUGCUAGAGCCUUGGGUUUUCCUUACAAUUGGGAUGGGAUUGGCCACACCUAUCAACAAUUUCUGUUCACUAGCCAAUUAUAAGAAGUUUAUGCAUGCCUAGACCAUUAAAAAAAAAGAAAAGAAACGUUCGGGGGGCCUGACUUUGUUAGCAUGGCCAAAUGAUCUGUUUUUAAUGUAAAUAUUUUGCUACAUUAAAGUUAUCAAAUCAAAGAUUCUGCUGUUCUUUUGUUCUAAAUAUUUUUGGAUGAUACUUUGGCAGAUGCAUGCCAGACAAGCUAUGUAAGACAACUUCAAGUGAUGUGGCCCUUUUUGGGAAUUCGUGGCGUUUGACUUGCCGAGGUUUGCAGGCUGAGAUGUGGUUAUAGGCAGAGAUGAGCAGCCCAGGGGAAGCCUGUGCUUUGCAUGAUGGCAUGGCCAGAUGAUCAGAUCCAUUCUUAUCUGAGAAGGGGAGAGAGAGGGAGGGAGAGAAAGAGAGGAGGGGAGGAAGGAGGACAGGGAGAGAGGCAGCAGAAAGGUGUAAGGAAGACCUCCUAGGACCUGGGUUAUCACUGCCCAGCUGCUGGGCCUCAUUACACUGAAGAUUGUGCAAUUACAUUGAUUUAUUGUUAGAAAAAGAUGUUUAGACUUCUGGGCUCCCCUGAUUUAGGAAGUGUGUGGGGGUGUUGAAGCGGGUGGCUAUGCGUUCUUCCAAGGAUUCAAACAUGCCCGAAUUUAGGGUUCAGGGUCAGGAACUGUGUAGCAAUGAGGGUGGGAGAACCUUUAUGGAGGGUGAACUGCAGAGAGCUCUGCUGGGCUGCUGAGACCAACCUUUCCAUGAAGAGAAGGAGAAAGAAGUCAGAAUCUGCAGCAGGACCGAGUUCCGGUGUGAACUGAGAGGUGUGCAAUUCUGCCUGAAAAAAGCCCCCUGCCCCAGUGUUGGGGACAGCCAUUACUCUCCACAGUGAACAGAAAGACAAACGCCCCGAACAAGACAGAAACAUUAGAAAAACUGAUUUUCCUCAAUGAAGAACGUUUUUAUCA